rnacentral:lncRNA from 1 species
UGUAGGAAGUGGGAAGAUGUAUACAUCACGAAUCAGAGACCAUUGGUUGUACACAACAGAGAGUACCAAUACUGACUAAUGUAAGGAGACAAAAUGAACAAAUUGAAAGCAUAUUGGCUUUUUCACAGAAUCAAAUGGAUGGCUCAACCAUCAAGCCUCACAAAAGGACAGAAACUAGAGGAGCUCUGAAAUUUAGGUAGCAGAAACUAGUGGAGAGUCUCUUCAAGGACCUGCCAGAAGAGUGACUCAGGAAAGAAAAAAUGAUCCUUGGAACUUGACUUUGUAUGCCCACCCACUGACAGGGGAGGUCAACUCCAUCUAUAUCCAAAACCUUUCUCAUCUGGCCUGACCUCCCUCAUGAGAGUUGCUGUUCUACUAGCUGACUGAAAUUUGAUGUAUCCUCUCACCUCAACUUCCACAAGUCAAAACACGUCUGUGCUUUCUGGUCACCCACCUACCAAAGCAAUCCUCCAUUUGCUAAUGUGUGCCAAUGGUCGCUUGACUUCACCUGGGAUGCUGACUCCAACUCCAGCCUAAACAUCUAAAGUGAUUGCUUCCUUAACUCUUGAACUUCAGUCUCCUGGUCCUUUAACCUCUUGUGAGUUUCCUAGUAUCGAUACUAUGAAUAUUAUUAGUAAUAGUAGUAGUAGUAUC